ensembl:lncRNA
UACAGCUCUGCUAUCACUUCCAGCAUAAAUGAAGACAGAAAACUAAACAGCAGUGACGUUUGUAGGGUUACUGAAGUUGGGCUAGCUGGUAUAUAAUGAUGUGCUACGUGACCACUAGCGACACAGCUAGGUUAGCAUAAUAUAAACAAGCUAACUUUUUUUCCCACUCGAUAAAAGUUAACGUGAGUGUUCUCGGUGGUCAGGGACAAAUGUAAUCGCAUGGCAGGAUGCUGUAAAAGGACCAAACUUCAGCCAGAAGAACAACUGAGAUAAUCCAUCCACAAUACGAGGUUAGUCAUUCAUAUACUGCUGCAUGGGCUGUGCUGUAGUUACAUCCUAAGGUUUAAAAACUGAGCUUAAAUAAAUGAUUAGUGGUAAUAAAAGCUGAGGGAGGUCAACAGGGAUCACUGACUGUUUUAGGAGCUUUUUGAGAUCAAAUAGAAGAAAAUACAUAACAUUAAACAUGUUAACAACACAAAAGCCAUAUUAAACGCAGACUACUUUAGGCCCGGAAGUAGGAUUCGUCAUGUCAUCACUUAACGACUGGAUUAUCAGUUUAAUAGCUCCAUAGUGUUAGAAGCUAGCAAUGUGAACAUUGCUAGCUUCUAACACCACCAAUUGUAUUAAUGCAGUUUGUGCGGAUAAAGAAAGAGAGGGCUUUAGGUCUUUGCAUAUAAAAAACGGCUGUAUAGAAAGUUAAUAUUUUAGCAUAAGUAGCGUUCUGUUGUAAAUCGCCUAUGGAGUCUAUGGAGGGAUAUUUUUAAUGAUCGCAAUCACCGGGUUCAUAAAUUCAGAGAUGUGCCAGUUACAUCUUGACAUAAAAAGCAUGUUGUUGUGUUCUGAUACAUGUGGCAGUGCAGAUAGGUGGAUAUUGUACAUGCUGUUUAUCACAGCAGCAGCUCCACUUCAUUAUUAUUUGGACCUUUGAUGUAUUUUUGAUGAUGGCCUUGACUGGUGUAGCUUUUUAUGCACGCAUGCAGGCACAAACACUCCCUCCUGCUCAUCUUCAAAAGAACCAGCAUGAACACGUCAUUCCAUAUGGCAUCAUUAUAUGUGUGUACAUGAUGUAUUUUAAUACAUGUGUAUCUGCUCCCUCUGAAUGAUCCCUCUGGGAUGUUAGCAAUCUUCUGUUUGUACGGUACAGUAGGCCCUCAUCCAUGCACAUAUGCAUGGGUGUGUGUGUGUGUGUGUGUUUUGGGGGGGGGGGGGGGGGGGGGUGCUUGACUCAUCUGUUCAUAAUGCCGUCCAUUAUAAACAACAAUGGCUUUUAAAAAUCACUGCUGGAUUUUGUAUCUUCACCUGCCUUGUCACUUGUGACUAAUGGGCAUCACUUCCGAGUGCCUAACCACAUAAAUGUGAGCAGUGGGACUGGGCUGCUGGCUUAUGUAAUACUGCCAGCACAGUUUUCUGCCUCCAAACUCCCUCCUCCUUUCCCUCCCUCUUUCUAUUGCUCUCUCUUGCUCUCUCUCGCUCCCGCUAACCCUCUAUGUCUCUUGCCCUCUCCCAGCUUGGCUGAUGUGAUGUGAUGUGGCUUCGUUGCCUAGCAGCCAUCCCCUUGUUUGAGUAACUGGGGAAGUGGAGAGAGAUCUGGUCCUCUGAACAGCAUACAUAUACAGUGGGAAGACACAAACAGUCACUACACACACAUACACACAGAUGCACGACGUGUGGUUUUACAAGUUUGACAGUGUCUGUUUGAUGUCUGCUGCUACCAUGUGAGGAAUGAACCAGCUAUAAUCAAUGUCUCGGGCUGGUGUAAAUUGAUUUGUGUUAUGGGAAGAGUCCCUGGCUUUGCUUUUAGAGAAAAAAAAAGCCGUCUGUUCUUCUCCCUCCCUGCAGCGUUGCAAGCACCAAUCUCUACCUUCCCUGUAUUCUUUUUUUUUUUUAAAAGAACCGCCCACGCCCCGAUCGCUCUUGGCAUGAAAAUCCCUCAUUCAUCAAUACUUCGAUUUUUGGACAUGGAGAUUAUCUAUCACUAUCGCCUCUUUUCUGCCAUCGGAAUAGUCUAUUUUUACUCUCUCUCCCUCCUCACUCACCGACUCUCCCUUGUUCCGUCCUCUCCUCAUUAGCACCGUGUGAGACACCUACACAGGGGCUUCGGGAGAUGAAUGGUCUAAUCCUCAAGGGGAAGGAGUGAAGUAUUACAUGGUGCACAAAGAUACACACAUACUCUGACAAUGAGAGACAUGCGAUGAAGUCAUUUUGAGGUACAGCACAAGUAUAUAUGCUUAAACAUAUAGUAUACACACACAUGUACACACAUUCAUACUUACACUGUCACUGUGAUGCCACCCAUGCACAUCACUCUGGUGUCACUUUCAUACCUGAGCAACACACCCUCCACACCUCGUGAUAAACAAACGUACAUGAACCGCGGUGACCGUUUUGGGGGAGGUUUCUAUGCAAGCGUGGUAUUCAGGUCAUCAACGUGGAUGCCAACCCGGCAGGGGCACAUAGAGGGCACGGGCUGGGCGGUGCUGCUGCUGCGGGGCGCCAACAAGGAAACUGUAAACCAUCACUGUGAUGACCAAACAAGGCUGGGGAGUCAUGGAUGGGUGAGGGGUGUGAUGGAGGUUAUAAGGAUCAGAUGUGGUUUCAUAAUCUCAUUUAUUAAUAAAAUGACAGAUGCGUCGGAGUUGAUCCCCAAGGGGAAAAUGUGUUCGAGCAUUUUCAGUGUUCACGCGUUGACAUAAGAAUGUAUUCAAAAUGCUGUAAAAAUCAUUUGUAAAAUAAAAAUGAAAAUGUUUUGAUGAUUGAGAUGAAUUUUCAGUUAAAAAACACUAACAAAAAAACUCAAUAAAUGUUUGCCUGUAGUUUUACUAUGAGUUACA